UUAAGCGACUAAGCGUACACGGUGGAUGCCCUGGCAGUCAGAGGCGAUGAAGGACGUGCUAAUCUGCGAUAAGCGUCGGUAAGGUGAUAUGAACCGUUAUAACCGGCGAUUUCCGAAUGGGGAAACCCAGUGUGAUUCGUCACACUAUCAUUAACUGAAUCCAUAGGUUAAUGAGGCGAACCGGGGGAACUGAAACAUCUAAGUACCCCGAGGAAAAGAAAUCAACCGAGAUUCCCCCAGUAGCGGCGAGCGAACGGGGAGGAGCCCAGAGCCUGAAUCAGUGUGUGUGUUAGUGGAAGCGUCUGGAAAGGCGCGCGAUACAGGGUGACAGCCCCGUACACAAAAAUGCACAUACUGUGAGCUCGAUGAGUAGGGCGGGACACGUGGUAUCCUGUCUGAAUAUGGGGGGACCAUCCUCCAAGGCUAAAUACUCCUGACUGACCGAUAGUGAACCAGUACCGUGAGGGAAAGGCGAAAAGAACCCCGGCGAGGGGAGUGAAAAAGAACCUGAAACCGUGUACGUACAAGCAGUGGGAGCCUCUUUAUGGGGUGACUGCGUACCUUUUGUAUAAUGGGUCAGCGACUUAUAUUCUGUAGCAAGGUUAACCGAAUAGGGGAGCCGAAGGGAAACCGAGUCUUAACUGGGCGUUAAGUUGCAGGGUAUAGACCCGAAACCCGGUGAUCUAGCCAUGGGCAGGUUGAAGGUUGGGUAACACUAACUGGAGGACCGAACCGACUAAUGUUGAAAAAUUAGCGGAUGACUUGUGGCUGGGGGUGAAAGGCCAAUCAAACCGGGAGAUAGCUGGUUCUCCCCGAAAGCUAUUUAGGUAGCGCCUCGUGAAUUCAUCUCCGGGGGUAGAGCACUGUUUCGGCAAGGGGGUCAUCCCGACUUACCAACCCGAUGCAAACUGCGAAUACCGGAGAAUGUUAUCACGGGAGACACACGGCGGGUGCUAACGUCCGUCGUGAAGAGGGAAACAACCCAGACCGCCAGCUAAGGUCCCAAAGUCAUGGUUAAGUGGGAAACGAUGUGGGAAGGCCCAGACAGCCAGGAUGUUGGCUUAGAAGCAGCCAUCAUUUAAAGAAAGCGUAAUAGCUCACUGGUCGAGUCGGCCUGCGCGGAAGAUGUAACGGGGCUAAACCAUGCACCGAAGCUGCGGCAGCGACGCUUAUGCGUUGUUGGGUAGGGGAGCGUUCUGUAAGCCUGUGAAGGUGUGCUGUGAGGCAUGCUGGAGGUAUCAGAAGUGCGAAUGCUGACAUAAGUAACGAUAAAGCGGGUGAAAAGCCCGCUCGCCGGAAGACCAAGGGUUCCUGUCCAACGUUAAUCGGGGCAGGGUGAGUCGACCCCUAAGGCGAGGCCGAAAGGCGUAGUCGAUGGGAAACAGGUUAAUAUUCCUGUACUUGGUGUUACUGCGAAGGGGGGACGGAGAAGGCUAUGUUGGCCGGGCGACGGUUGUCCCGGUUUAAGCGUGUAGGCUGGUUUUCCAGGCAAAUCCGGAAAAUCAAGGCUGAGGCGUGAUGACGAGGCACUACGGUGCUGAAGCAACAAAUGCCCUGCUUCCAGGAAAAGCCUCUAAGCAUCAGGUAACAUCAAAUCGUACCCCAAACCGACACAGGUGGUCAGGUAGAGAAUACCAAGGCGCUUGAGAGAACUCGGGUGAAGGAACUAGGCAAAAUGGUGCCGUAACUUCGGGAGAAGGCACGCUGAUAUGUAGGUGAAGCGACUUGCUCGUGGAGCUGAAAUCAGUCGAAGAUACCAGCUGGCUGCAACUGUUUAUUAAAAACACAGCACUGUGCAAACACGAAAGUGGACGUAUACGGUGUGACGCCUGCCCGGUGCCGGAAGGUUAAUUGAUGGGGUUAGCGGUAACGCGAAGCUCUUGAUCGAAGCCCCGGUAAACGGCGGCCGUAACUAUAACGGUCCUAAGGUAGCGAAAUUCCUUGUCGGGUAAGUUCCGACCUGCACGAAUGGCGUAAUGAUGGCCAGGCUGUCUCCACCCGAGACUCAGUGAAAUUGAACUCGCUGUGAAGAUGCAGUGUACCCGCGGCAAGACGGAAAGACCCCGUGAACCUUUACUAUAGCUUGACACUGAACAUUGAGCCUUGAUGUGUAGGAUAGGUGGGAGGCUUUGAAGUGUGGACGCCAGUCUGCAUGGAGCCGGCCUUGAAAUACCACCCUUUAAUGUUUGAUGUUCUAACGUUGGCCCCUUAUCGGGGUUGCGGACAGUGUCUGGUGGGUAGUUUGACUGGGGCGGUCUCCUCCUAAAGAGUAACGGAGGAGCACGAAGGUUGGCUAAUCCUGGUCGGACAUCAGGAGGUUAGUGCAAUGGCAUAAGCCAGCUUGACUGCGAGCGUGACGGCGCGAGCAGGUGCGAAAGCAGGUCAUAGUGAUCCGGUGGUUCUGAAUGGAAGGGCCAUCGCUCAACGGAUAAAAGGUACUCCGGGGAUAACAGGCUGAUACCGCCCAAGAGUUCAUAUCGACGGCGGUGUUUGGCACCUCGAUGUCGGCUCAUCACAUCCUGGGGCUGAAGUAGGUCCCAAGGGUAUGGCUGUUCGCCAUUUAAAGUGGUACGCGAGCUGGGUUUAGAACGUCGUGAGACAGUUCGGUCCCUAUCUGCCGUGGGCGCUGGAGAACUGAGGGGGGCUGCUCCUAGUACGAGAGGACCGGAGUGGACGCAUCACUGGUGUUCGGGUUGUCAUGCCAAUGGCACUGCCCGGUAGCUAAAUGCGGAAGAGAUAAGUGCUGAAAGCAUCUAAGCACGAAACUUGCCCCGAGAUGAGUUCUCCCUGACCCUUUAAGGGUCCUGAAGGAACGUUGAAGACGACGACGUUGAUAGGCCGGGUGUGUAAGCGCAGCGAUGCGUUGAGCUAACCGGUACUAAUGAACCGUGAGGCUUAACCU
rnacentral:rRNA from 1 species